ACCCAGCUCGGGAGAUGAAACCUUCCGCGGGCGCUAGGGGUGGGGUGCUGGCUGGUGGGAUGCAGCCCAAACCCAAAGGAACGGCUGGGAGCAGGAGAGGCAGGAGCGGGAGUGGGUUCAGCCAGAGGCACGUCUGCCAGACAUAUCUGGGGCGACCCUUCUCCCUGACCCCCAACUCCAGUGUCCACUGAGGCCUCAGCUAUGCACUGGGCUGUGCUGUGGGGGUCAGAGGGAGGAGAAGCUGGGGGCCUGGCCUGGGAGUCCCAGAGUGCCUGGGGCACAGUCCUCACAUGCCAAAAGAUCAAAAAGAAUAGCAGAUACUCAGCGGUUCAGCUGCUGAAAUGCACAAGACAGAAAGCGCCCUGGAGUUCGAGACCAGCCUGGGCAACAUGGCAAGAUCCCCUGCAGUGGGCUUCUGUCCUGGCCACUGCAAAUAACUCACUGCCUCCUAUUGGCACCAGGUCCUGUCAUGGCGCUGCACAUGCUAUU
rnacentral:lncRNA from 1 species